AAACUAGGAUUAGAUACCCUAUUAUUUUAAGUUUAUUUUUAAAGUAGUAAAUUAUGUUUUUUAAACUUAAUUUUUCUGGCGGUUCACUACUCUAACAGGAGGAGCUUGUCAAAUUAGAUUGAUAACCCGCUUUUAUUUUCACCAUUGGUUUAUCUUAUGUACGGCUGUUAAGCUUUAAGAUUUAGCUUAUUGUUUUAACUUUUAAAAGCUUAGUUCAGGUCAAUGUGUAGACUAUGCUGUGGAUUUUGAUGAGCUACUUUUAUUAGUUUUAGUAUUUGUCUUCUUUUUAAAUUGGAUUUGUUAGUAAAGCUGAAAUAAAACUUUAGCUUGGUGUAGACUUUUGGUGGAAGUACAUAUCGCCCGUCACUCUUUUGAUAGAUAAGUCGUAACAUAGUA
rnacentral:rRNA from 1 species